GGGAGAAGGUGGUGAGUGUGGGGGAGGGGGCUCUGAGUUCACUGAUUGUCCCAUACUAACCCCCACCCUGUCCCCUCUUCCCCCACAGAAGAUGGAGGUAAACAAGAGAGCAGCAGAAGACACCAGGAGGGACUACGAACAAUUUGUGCAGGAGCUGGACCAUGACCACCAGAGUAUGAGGAGCUGUCUGAGGGUGAAGCCGCUGGAGAUGCAGAAACGCCUGGAGGGGAAACGUCAGGAGCUGCUGGAGCACUGCCGGGUGGAGCUGCGGGGCAAGGACCCCCAGAAACAGGAGGCCCUGGAGGAGCUGAAGCAGGAGCUGGACAGGCAGAUGGACAAGUUCCUGCUAGUCUACAAGCAGCGCUUUAAAAAGAUGGAGGUAAACAAGAGAGCAGCAGAAGACACCAGGAGGGACUACGAACAAUUUGUGCAGGAGCUGGACCGUGACCACCAGAGUAUGAGGAGCUGUCUGAGGGUGAAGCCGCUGGAGAUGCAGAAACGCCUGGAGGGGAAACAUCAGGAGCUGCUAGAGCGCUGCCGGGGGGAGCUGCUGGGCGAGGACCCCCAGAAACAGGAGGCCCUGGAGGAGCUGCAGCAGGGGCUGCCCAGUCAGAUGGACGAGUUCCUGCUAGUCUACAAGCAGCGCUUUAAAAAGAUGGAGGUAAACAAGAGAGCAGCAGAAGACACCAGGAGGGACUACGAACAAUUUGUGCAGG
rnacentral:lncRNA from 1 species